GCCCAAGGGCCCCCGGGUCCGCCCGAGCCGGCCGCCGGGCAAGGGUCCCUGGCCCCGGACAGCGCUGGCGAGGGCGCCCCGGGACGGGACCCCCAUGCCAGCCCCGCCAGCCCCGCCAGCCCCGCCCCCCCGGGGAAGGAGCAGCCUCGGGACCUCAAGUUCAGCAUCGACUACAUCCUGUCCUCCCCAGACCCCUUCCCCGGACUCAAGCCACCCUGCCUCGCAGAGGAGGGCAGAUACGCGCGGCUGGAGAACGUGGGCCUCCACUUUUGGACAAUGUGAUGUGGGGCCUUCUGGAGGCCCCUGCAGUUCAGUCUGGGGUCUUCCCCAGACCCUCCCUGGAAAGACGGUUCCAGCCUCACCUUGAGUCAGGAAGCCAGAGUUCGACAAAUCCUACAAUUUCUCCUGCAGACAGAAGGUCAGGUGCCACACCAGGCCUGGAUUGGGGGGACAGGCGGAGGUGGAGCUCCUUAAAGAUGGAAGCAGGAGCGUGGCAGAUUUGAGAGCAACCACCAGGUCCCUGAGUGCAAACUGACCACAGAUGAGACCCUCCCCCGUACUGCUGACUGGUUGGGCGUAGCGUAGCAGCAUCCCUCCAGAGAGGCCUCCUUGGCUGACACCUGCCCUUUGCACCCAGCUGAAGUAGGACUCUUGGAAUCUGCUGUC